ACAAGCAUAAGCAUAUCUAUAUUUCUUGCCUAAGUAAGCAGGGUUGAAGCUGCACAUGUCCAUUCCUCUGCCAUGUUCAUCUGGGUCCAAUGCUGCCUCCAGCUUCCCAUGUCCACUCCCAUCCAAUGUGUUAUAUGAUGGCAUGCUUUGAGGAGUCUAAAUCCAAACAAGUCAAAGCAAAAGCAAAAGACAAAGCCAAAGACAAAGCCAAAACCAGAUAAUGGUGAAUUGUAAGUAGUUUUCUCAAAAGAAUUCAACCAUUCCGGCUGUGAGUAUGUUUAUUUUGUUCUUUCUUAAAUUCAACAAUUCCGGCUUUGCAAUUCAUUGUAUCCCAUUAACUUUCCUCGUUAUAUCUAUAUAUAUAUAUAUAUAUCUUUUUGCUUUGG